rnacentral:sRNA from 2 species
UCGCUUCGAGCGCCGUGGGCAGGAGCGGGGGAACCAGGUAAGUGCCGCGUCACGCGGCUAGGGGUGGAGCCGCACUCGGGAGAGUGCGGCCGGGCAACUUCACUGGCCCGAACCCGACAGCUCACCUCGCAGGCGUCGGUGAGGGGAUCA